GAUGAACGCUGGCGGUAUGCCUAACACAUGCAAGUCGUACGAGAGUUUUUAACUCUAGUGGCGGACGGGUGAGUAACACGUGAGAAUUUGCCUUUAGAGGGGGAUAACAAUUGGAAACGAAUGCUAAUACCCCAUAUGCUUUUGAGUGAAACGGAUUUAUCCGCCUAGAGAGAAGCUCGCGGCUGAUUAGCUUGUUGGUAAGGUAAGAGCUUACCAAGGCGACGAUCAGUAUCUGGUUUGAGAGGACGAUCAGACACACUGGAACUGAGACACGGUCCAGACUCCUACGGGAGGCAGCAGUGGGGAAUUUUCCGCAAUGGGCGAAAGCCUGACGGAGCAAUACCGCGUGAGGGAAGACUGCCUAUGGGUUGUAAACCUCUUUUUUCAGGGAGGAAUAAAUGACGUGUACCUGAAGAAUAAGCAUCGGCUAACUCCGUG
rnacentral:rRNA from 1 species